GCCUGUCAACAGCAUCACGUUCGGUCUGUGCAGCAGAUGCAAUGUUGUUUUUGUAGGUUGGCUGGUGCUUAAUUGGCAGCUGUGCGGUGUAGCAGCCAAGAACACAGGACUCAAGAGCCUGACCGUUUGUGUCUAAACCCCAGCCCUGCCACUUCCGAGCCGGGUGACCGUGGGCAAGCAACUCACCUCUCUGAGCCUCAGUUUGCUCUUCUGUAAAAUGGGGACAAGAGUCCGUACCUCAUGGGCGGAGGUCUUUCCCUCUUCAUAUAAGCAUUUACUGCUAUAAACUUCCCUCUUCGUCCUGCGUGUGCUGCAUCCCAGAGACUGCUCGCUGUCUCCACCCUGGUCUGAGCCAGUCUCCUAUAUGGACAUCGUAGCUUCCUCGCCCGUCUGCCUGCUCCUGUUCCUGUCUGCCGGCCAUCAAUCCAAUCUCCAUGUAGCUGGAAAGAACGUUGAAAGAGGCAUUUUUGGAUCCUGUCACUAACCUGCUUACCUCCUCUGAUGGUGUCCCUUUGGGCUUAGAAUAAAACCUGAACUCCUCCCAUUUCCCUGGAUUUCCCCCUGCAGACCGUUUGUCUGAAUUAUCUCGUUAGUUACUGCU